GAUGAACGCUGGCGGCGUGCCUAAUACAUGCAAGUCGAACGCAUAUGCUGGAGCUUGCUCUUGUUGCUGAGUUGCGAACGGGUGAGUAAAGCGUUGGUAACCUGCCUGGUAGCGGGGGAAACCUCUUGGAAACGAUAUCUAAAACAGCUUCUAAAAACUUAUAGUAUCAUAUCCGUUUAAGAGGAGGAACUGAUGCACUACCUGAUGGACCUGCGGUGUAUUAGCUAGUUCGUGAGGUAACGGCUCACCAAGGCUGCGAUGCAUAGCCGACCUGAGAGGGUGAUCGGCCACACUGGGACUGAGACACGGCCCAGACUCCUACGGGAGGCAGCAGUAGGGAAUCUUCGGCAAUGGACGGAAGUCUGACCGAGCAACGCCGCGUGAGUGAAGAAGGUUUUCGGAUCGUAAAACUCUGUUGUUAGAGAAGAACAAGUGUGAGAGUGGAAAGUUCACACUUUGACGGUAUCUAACCAGAAAGCCACGGCUAACUACGUG
rnacentral:rRNA from 1 species